GGAGGGCGAUCCGGCUGCGACAUCUGCCACUCCAUUGAUCUCUAGGGUGAUUUGGCUGAUCUGGUUGGCUAAGCAGGCUAUCCUUUCCUCUCACCACUCCAUGUUCAUCCCUGCUGAAGCUCGCACUCAGUGGAAGAGGAUGACCUUCUCUGAUAGAGGAGGACUGUUCUGCAGUAAGGGUGUGGAAGUAGCCACGCUCCUCUGCUAGAACCUCCAAACAAGUUCUCAAGAGGUUCGUGUGGCAGAAUUCUAGUACAAGUUCUAAACUCCAGAGGUAAUCUUCAGUUGCUAGGUCUUGUUUAU
rnacentral:snRNA from 1 species